GACGAACGCUGGCGGCGUGCUUAACACAUGCAAGUCGAACGGAAAGGCCCUGCUUUUUUGGGGUGCUCGAGUGGCGAACGGGUGAGUAACACGUGAGUAACCUGCCCUUGCCUUUGGGUUACCUUCAGGAACCUUGGUCUAUUCCCGUCUAGGAUCUCUUGCUCCUUGGUGGGGUUUGGAAUUUUUCGGCGGUUGGGGAUGUACUCGCGGCUUAUCAGCUUGUUGGUGGGGUAGUGGCUUACCAAGGCUUUGACGGGUCGCCGGCCUGUGAGGGUUACCGGCCAAAAUGGGACUGAGAGAAGGCCCAGACUAGUACGGGAGGCAGCAGGGGGGAAUAUUGCACAAUGGGCGGAAGCAUGAUGCAGCAACGCAGCGUGCGGGAUGACGGCCUUCGGGUUGUAAAACGCAUUCGCCUGUGACGAAGCGUGAGUGACGGUAAUGGGUAAAGAAGCACCGGCUAACUACGUG
rnacentral:rRNA from 1 species